UGUGCUGUGCUUUGCAGGAGUUCAUUCUUAAACAGCUUACAAGCAGCAGUCAGGCUUGGAUCGGUCUGACUGACAGCGACACAGAGGGGGUGUGGAAAUGGGUGGACGAUACACCACUGACCACUUCGUUCUGGUCUGAUGGAGAACCGGAUAAUGCAGGCGAUGAGGACUGUGCCGAGAUUGAGGGUUGGAGGAACAGCUGGAACGACAGAUCAUGCUCUGCAAAUGUACAACACCCUGACUAUAGAGAGAGACCUGUUACAGAUCAGGUACAAAACCCUGACUAAACAGAGAGACCAGUAACAGAGGGAGAGAGAUGGAUAUUCGAGAACAUAUAUAUAAUAUGUACAUAUAGUAUAAAAGACAGUAUUUUGAUGAUGAUUGUGUUUCUGUUUCAGUUUCUUAUCAAAAAUGAUUCAGGUUAAAAAAAACAACAUUUUAAAUAAACGUCUAAUCGUUUUGUGUAAUAUUGUUAUGAGGAUCAAAAAUGUGAUGAAUUAGUGCAAUGUACACAUCAUUAUAACACAAAAAUGUUAUUUUGAUAUGUAUAUAACUGCUAGACU
ensembl:lncRNA